UAGUUGAACCUUGGGCCUGGCUGGCCGGUCCGCCUCACCGCGUGUACUGGUCCGGCCGGGCCUUUCCCUCUGUGGAACCCCAUGCCCUUCACUGGGCGUGGCGGGGAAACAGGACUUUUACUGUGAAAAAAUUAGAGUGCUCCAGGCAGGCCUAUGCUCGAAUACAUUAGCAUGGAAUAAUAGAAUAGGACGUGUGGUUCUAUUUUGUUGGUUUCUAGGACCGCCGUAAUGAUUAAUAGGGACAGUCGGGGGCAUCAGUAUUCAAUUGUCAGAGGUGAAAUUCUUGGAUUUAUUGAAGACUAACUACUGCGAAAGCAUUUGCCAAGGAUGUUUUCAUUAAUCAGGAACGAAAGUUAGGGGAUCGAAGACGAUCAGAUACCGUCGUAGUCUUAACCAUAAACUAUGCCGACUAGGGAUCGGACGGUGUUAUUUUUUGACCCGUUCGGCACCUUACGAGAAAUCAAAGUGCUUGGGCUCCAGGGGGAGUAUGGUCGCAAGGCUGAAACUUAAAGAAAUUGACGGAAGGGCACCACCAGGGGUGGAGCCUGCGGCUUAAUUUGACUCAACACGGGGAAACUCACCAGGUCCAGACACAAUAAGGAUU
rnacentral:rRNA from 1 species